GUAAGGGUUUUAUGGUGAAUAAAGAGAACCCUGUGGCUGAGGAACCAUGCCGCUGUAGGCCCAACUUACAGUGUUACCACAUCAAUUGUGAAUUCUGCGAAAAACUACCCACCUGUAACCCUGGUUCUGGCCUCGAAGAUGACCCCGGUGAGGUUUUCCAACAAGAAUCAAAGUUUAAUGGAAUUACCACAAAGAGAUGUCUUUCAGAAAUAAUAACUGAGAAUCUGUUUGCUUCCCUUCAGGCUCGACUAAUGGAAGAAAGAUCUGCACUCCAUGCAAUAGCGGCUUUUUCUCCGCUCAUCGUAAUUCUGAGCAAUGCAAAGAGUGGACCAAGUAAGUGCACACACAAACAUGCGCAGGGACAUUUUUAGUUGAAACUGUUUCAACAUGUUGUGGAGGGAAAAUGCAUCAGCCCGAAUGAGUAAGUUGUUCACCACUUCCCCUGGAAUCCUGGCUGGACCACUGCCGGCCGCAUCUGUAAUGGAGAUGACGAUGGACAGAGAAGGAGGGACGUAGAAAGGGAACUUUUUCCUUCCCUCUUAGCUCUUUUCUUUACAUGAAAUGAACAAAAACGGGUGUAGGGUUUUGUAAUGAUUCCUAGCCUAAGUUCCAAUCCUCUUGUUUUCCAGUUGUAAGGCAGAGGGAAGAAGUGAGACGCAGCCGGGCAGCAGCCGGGCGGAUGCAGUGUGUGGACCUCCUGACCCCGGUACAACCCCCCCUUGGGUUUUAGUUUCUGUGCUGUCAGUCCUAAUUGUUCUGUGUCUCCUCCUUCUGCGGCUCUUCUGCUACAAGGACAAACUGAAGUUGCUCUCCAUUAAUCUGCGAUCUUGCGUCCAGAAUCUGAAGAGGACCAGAAUUCAACAGGUGCUGUAAUGUUUCAGUUAAACAUUAUUGAUGAUGUAGAAAAAUGAUUUUUCAUAUCUAGAACGUUUCUGAAAUGAACAAAAAAGCAAUAAAAUACACAAAAUUACAUCAGUCCUCACCACUAACUAUUCAGUGGUUAACGGCAUUGUUUCUGUGCCUGCAGGAGACUUUGGCCCCUCUUUACCACAGUGCACCAGCAGGUGGAGGAAUUGAAGCAGCUCCUGGAGAUCCCAGAUGUUUCCCGUGUCAAGAGACUAAACUCGUCUGUCAAGACCCCCACAGUCCUGAGAAUGAGCCCCUCCGCCCAUCCGCCUCCAUCGGUGCCAGCGCCUGCCUGCUGUUACCAGAGCAACCAACAGAAAAAGGAGGGAUGGAGGAAAAGACGGCUGCAGAGACUCAGAGCGAGGGAUCUGGAGAACCAGAAGAGGUGUCAGAAGAAGACUUUUCAAGUGUCUCUCCACUUUUGGCAGGUUCCUGUGUGUGUGUCAUUCCAGUCUGUGAGCCACUGGAAGUAGGGGAGAAUGAGGACUGUAGCCAGGCUGUGAGUCCUGGGAUGACAGGAACCUGCUUGUGUGGGGCUCUGGAAGAUGGAAACGAGGACAGAAGCAAAAGGCUGCGAGAAAGGGCCAAUGGAAGUCAAGAAAAGAUGGCUUUGACCACAAGUGAGACGUGUGAGGUUCCUCUGACCUCCUGUGGGGUUCCACCAUCCAGUCCUCCUGAACGCUGUCUGCCAGCCUCCCAGGCUCAGGUGAUGGAGCAGCCCAGAUCUGACCUGACGGACGGAUCACCGGUAAAAACAGUGGAAUUAUACACACAGACAAGUUUACACUCCACCUUUAAAGGAAAUAGCACAACCUCCACUGUGACUUUAGCCAGCCCCUCAUUAACUUCUGCAUCGGUUGGAGAUCUUUACCUGGAAAAGCCGCCUGAGUCCUCAAGCGCAGAUCAAAGCCUGGGACCUUCCUGGAGGAAUAGCAGGGAGAAAAGGUUUCCUCUGGGAGACUCGGAACUGGAAUGUUCACCAGAGAGUCUCCACAGUCAGCUGGCUGAACCAACUCCUACCUCAGGUCUUGUGUCUGGAAACAACAAUACUACCUUCAUCUCCAGCGGUCAGGUGAUGAAUUUCAGCGGUGAUGUCAUUGUCGUGUGUGUCAGCCAAACAUCUCAUGACGGUGACGAGGAGAGGCAGGGUGACGCUAUUGGGAGCCCUGUGCAGGAGGAGUCUAGCCAAACGGCGCAGUUUUUCCAGAGCAGGUGUCGAUCACAAGGGAACUACACUACCCAUAACACCUUGCAAGAACUGACAAUGCCAAUGAUGCAGGGAAAGUAAAACAAAAUAGUGGAGGACACCAACCAUCUCUGCAGCUGUUGGACAAACUUGCACUACUGAACAUUUUGAUGGUAACAUCAGUGCUGCAGCUCCCAGUGAGAUUGGAGUGAUUCAUAUAUGAAAUUUCACAAAGAUUCUUCAGUGGAAUUUCUUCUGGAAGUUGUUUUUCUAAAUACAUUGAAUGGAUCUUGCCUGACAUUUAUUUCCAGCUGAAAGCUACAGUGGAAACUCCCUUUUGAGACCAUUUUGGGGAAUUUUGAAUUGUUAUAGAAUUUGGGUUCAGACUGGAAGAGCAAAACAUUUGUUGCUCAGACUCAGUUGUAAAAUGUGUAUUUCAUUUUUUACUUUUGACUAAAAAAGUCCACCUUUUGGAUUUAUUCACUUUAAUGUUAUGUCUGGAUAAAUUUAAGACUUUUUUCCUACGGUUUUUCAGUGUUUAAAGAAAUCAACUUACUUUUUCCAGUAAAAUAUUGUUGAAUUGAUUUAAAAGUUGUUUAAAAUUCAAAUGGAUUUUUUAACAUUUUACUGAAUCUUUGCUUAUUUUAUAUGCGCAUGAUUUAACUGAGGCAAACAAAGUACAUCAAGUUUUGAUGUGAGGCUUGUUUAGCUAUUACAUAGACUGUACAUAGACUUUUUAUAAGACCACAAAUGCGGUUUUGGUCAAAAAAUAAAAUGCUAUGCAUUUGAUAAGCUACCUUAUUA
rnacentral:lncRNA from 1 species